AAAACAUGAGAAACCUGACCAGAGAUGCUAGCAAUGAUUUAUGUUCAAAGAUGGAACAUAGAUUCGAGACUUGUGAAGGGAGAAGAGACAAUUAGUGAUGAACAAAAUUCCAAAUCCUUUUAUUAAAAAUAGUGAUGUAUGUCAUCCAUGAGGGUACUAUAUUUUUUGUUUGACACAUUUAAUAUGAGCCAGUAGAAUACUUAUG
rnacentral:lncRNA from 1 species